AUCUGGGUGCUUGACAAAUCUGGCAACUACACAACUCGUUCAAUGUACCGCUUUCUAACUUUUGGGGGUGUGGUCAAUUCCAGAAUGAAGAAGAUCUGGUCUGCAAGAUUGCCUAUGAAAAUUAAAGUCUUUCUCUGGUUAGCUAUUCAAGACAGAAUCCAAUCAGGAGUUGCUCUAAAACAUAAAUCCUGGAAGGGGGACCCAAACUGUAGUUUGUGUACUUCUCCUGAGACGGCAGAUCACAUAAUCUUCCAAUGUGUGUUAGCACGCUUUGCUUGGGUCGGGAAAUGGGGGUUACUGCUUCGAGAGCUUGAUCGCGCCAAGAUCUCAAGCUGAGGACGGCGGAAAUGAAGACUUGGCUAAGGAACUACGAAGACUCGAGAGUUUUGGAUAUAGAUACUUCCUGGUGCUAGUUGUAUUCUGAAGGCUAUUGCUUUCUGUUGGAGCUCUGCUCCCUUUUCUUUCUUUUGCUGAACGUGGUGUGUUUUGUGCGGCCUA